rnacentral:rRNA from 1 species
UGGGUAAUAUUGCACAAUGGGGGAAACCCUGAUGCAGCGACGCCGCGUGAACGAAGAAGGUAUUCGUAUCGUAAAGUUCUGUCCUAUGGGAAGAUAAUGACAGUACCAUAGAAGAAAGCUCCGGCUAAAUACGUGCCAGCAGCCGCGGUAAUACGUAUGGAGCGAGCGUUGUCCGGAAUUAUUGGGCGUAAAGGGUACGCAGGCGGUUUAAUAAGUCGAAUGUUAAAGAUCGGGGCUCAACCCCGCAAAGCAUUGGAAACUGAUAAACUUGAGUAGUGGAGAGGAAAGUGGAAUUCCUAGUGUAGUGGUGAAAUACGUAGAUAUUAGGAGGAAUACCAGUAGCGAAGGAGACUUUCUGGACACAAACUGACGCUGAGGUACGAAAGCGUGGGGAGCAAACAGG